rnacentral:rRNA from 1 species
AUUGAACGCUGGCGGCAGGCCUAACACAUGCAAGUCGAACGGAGUGGCGGACGGGUGAGUAAUGCCUAGGAAUCUGCCUGGUAGUGGGGGAUACCGUCCGGAAACGGGCGCUCAUACCGCAUACUAUCAGAUGAGCCUAGGUCGGAUUAGCUAGUUUGUGGGGUAACGGCCUACCAAGGCGACGAUCCGUCACUGGUCUGAGAGGAUGAUGAGUCACACUGGGACUGAGACAAGGACCAGACUCCUAGGGGAGGAAGCAGUGGGGAAGAUUGGACAAAGGGCGAAAGCCUGAUCCAGCCAUGCCGCGUGUGUGAAGAAGGUCUUCGGAUUGUAAAGCACUUUAAGUUGGGAGGCGUUAUCAACAGAAUAAGCACCGGCUAACUCCGAGCCAGCAGCCGCGGUAAUAC